UACGUAGGUGGCAAGCGUUGUCCGGAUUUACUGGGCGUAAAGAGCGCGCAGGCGGUCGUUCAAGUCGCGUGUGAAAGCCCCCGGCUCAACUGGGGAGGGUCACGCGAUACUGAUCGACUCGAAGGCAGGAGAGGGAAGCAGAAUUCCCGGUGUAGUGGUGAAAUGCGUAGAUAUCGGGAGGAAUACCAGUGGCGAAGGCGGCUUCCUGGCCUGUUCUUGACGCUGAGGCGCGAAAGCUAGGGGAGCAAACGGG
rnacentral:rRNA from 1 species